CCUGGCGGCCAUGGCGGCAGGGAAACGCCCGUUCCCAUUCCGAACACGGAAGCUAAGCCUGCCAGCGCCGAUGGUACUGCCCUGGAAACGGGGUGGGAGAGUAGGACGCCGCCAGGU
rnacentral:rRNA from 1 species